GAGAAGGGCGUGCGAACCAGUUCCACCUCAUCCCGAACUUCCUAAUUUGUUUUGGAGUUCUAGAAAUCAUAGCAAUUCAUUAUGGUGGGAGAAUUUGAGCUGAUGCCCUAACUCUCAGAGGCGUCAACAACUCUUAAGGAGCAUAACCCAGAAGGAAGAGAGAGAGGGAGAGACAGCUCGUUAUAGUUUUGUUUAAAGCUGUGAGUUCUGUCAGUAAUUUUUUUUUGGUUUUUGUUUGUGGGAUUUGGGGAUUUAGGGUUUGAAAACAAGGGAAAUGACGCAGAGUAAUGGCAAUUACAACAGUGGGGGUGGGAUGGAUUUCCAUUUGCCCGAUGAGAUAUUGUCUGUCAUUCCAACAGAUCCAUAUGAGCAACUUAACUUGGCGCGAAAGAUCACGUCCAUGGCGAUUGUGGGUAGAAGAUAUCGGAAAAGGACCGGCUGAUAUUUGAGUUGGAGGAGAAGGUAUUGUAGCUUGAACAUGCACUUCAAGAAACGGAUGCACGAUUGAGGGUUUCUCUUGAAAAAAAGAUGUAAUAAAUGAAUAUUUUUUAUGGAAUUGAACUUUUUGAGAAGAUGCA